UACGGGGGGGGCAAGCGUUGUUCGGAUUUACUGGGCGUAAAGGGCGCGUAGGCGGCGCGGUAAGUCACUUGUGAAAUCUCUGAGCUUAACUCAGAACGGUCAAGUGAUACUGCAGUGCUAGAGUGCAGAAAGGGCAAUCGGAAUUCUUGGUGUAGCGGUGAAAUGCGUAGAUAUCAAGAGGAACACCUGAGGCGAAGGCGGGUUGCUAGGCUGACACUGACGCUGACAGCGCGAAAGCCAGGGGAGCAAACGGG
rnacentral:rRNA from 1 species